rnacentral:rRNA from 1 species
UACAGAGGUCCCAAGCGUUGUUCGGAUUCACUGGGCGUAAAGGGUGCGUAGGAGGGCAGGUAAGUCAGUGGUGAAAUCUCCAAGCUUAACUUGGAAACUGCCGUUGAUACUAUCUGUCUUGAAUACCGUGGAGGUGAGCGGAAUAUGUCAUGUAGCGGUGAAAUGCUUAGAUAUGACAUAGAACACCAAUUGCGAAGGCAGCUCGCUACACGAAUAUUGACUCUGAGGCACGAAAGCGUGGGGAUCAAACAGG